ensembl:lncRNA
AGAAAUGUACUCGAAAGGGUUGCAGUCCCUGGAUAGACAAUUCCAUUCAUGACAGAGGAAUUGAACUGGAUGAACUUUAAGGUCCCUUCCAAGCCAGACCAUCUGUGAUCCCCUGCUCUGCCUUGCAGGUGUUUUUGGGAGCCCCCCUGCCCGUGCUCACAGCCAGUCCCUGCCCUGUGUGGCCAAUGGAGAUGACCAGGGGGUCAGGGAGGAGACUGAGCCAUCCCCAGGGAUCCCUGGGAGAAGCUUCCAGCAGAACAGUGCUUCCCAUGUCCAUGCUGACAAGGACAGAGAGAUAAAAGUGACCAUGUCAAAAUCUGCCCAGGAUAAGCUGAGGAGGAAGAGAAAAGAAGAAAAAGAACUCAAUCACAAAGAGCAUCAGGAAGGCAAAGACCUGGAAGGGAAGGAAGAGAUCCCUUGGGAAGGGCUUAGACUGAGUAUGAGUGAACCAGAGAGACUGACAGCAGAAAGGUUUAAUCUCUGUGGGGAUAUUUUAACAUCGCCAAGAAACGGAUCUUUGUCCUUAGAAAAUGUGGCCUUGAAUCCUUCUCUGAGAAGAACAUCCAGUUUGAAGAGGUCAAAGUGUUCACCCUUGCUGGAUUCUGGUAAGCUGGGACAGUAAAAUUUGGGUAUGUGGAGUGGGAGAGCACCAAAAUGCAAUUUAUUUGUGCAAGGGACAGUCCUGAGGUGCUCUGGAGCACCAAUACUGUGGUGGUGGAGGGGAUUUAAUUCAUCAUUGGGGAGUCAAUUAAUCAUUUUUCACCUAUAAUCUGUUAGGAAGGUGUUUUAAACAUCAGAGGGUUUUUAUUUGUUCAGCAACUUGAAUAAUGUAAUAUAUUAAUGACAAAUGGAGUCCCUUCUGUCCCCAGAAAAAUCAUUUCUUGGUCUGUUUGGGCACUGAGUUGCUUUUAAAAUGUGCAGUAGAAAGACUCUGAGAAUAGAAGCUCCUACUGAUCGUGGUCCAGGAUUUCUCAAGAGGCUCUUAAAGGCUGUGUUUUAGCACACUGUGCCUCAUUUUUUACAUUAAACAACCCACUGCAUUUGUGUUUGUGACUCUUUAUAGCGGUGGUUGUGUGCAAAAAAAGUAAUCUCUAUGAAUGAAACCAAGUCACUGAGGAUAUCCCACCCCUGGAAGUGCUCGAGGCCAGGCUGGUGGAAGGUGUGCCAGGGGUGACCCUGGAUGGGCUUUAAGCCCUUUCCCACCCAAACCAUUCCACGAUUCUGUGUCUCUUGGAAAACCCGCUCCCUGUAGCAGCCCUCUCUACCUCAGGCUUCUCACAGCUGCUGGUUUUGCCCCCUGGAGCCCCGGGGGUGCUGUCACUGCCUGUGGAUGUUGUGCCCGCAGAGGAGGCGGCGCCGGGCGCGCGGGGCCGGCCCAAGGAGCAGGUGACGCACAGCCCCGAGGUGCUGGACCCCUCGGAGCUGCAGCCCUUCCCCAGGCCCGACACGGCCCUGGCAGAGGCCCUGGCACUGCUGGCUGACGACGACUGGUGGGUGCACACCGAGCCCGGGGGGUCUGCGAGCUGCUGGGGGGGGGAACUCGCUCCCAAACCCAGCCAGAGGGGGAUGUCACACACAGCGAGGGGGG